CGGGAAGGCCAACGUGGGCGCUCGCUAGCUCUCUCCCAGCGCAGAGGCAGGGCGAGGGGACAACAAAGGGGCAGGAACUCCGGAAGGCGCACCAUCUUUAGAGAUCACUCACCACCUUAGUCUGGAAGUCGCUACACGGACAGGUUUGCUUCCUCUCUUUUCCUCCUCUCCAAAGGACCUGUCACCCAGCCUAAUACAGAAAGACACCCAGCAUAUGUGUAUUGAACAGAUGAGUCAGUUGGAUGUGUUGGGGGACUAGCAGUGUACCAGCUUAUUUUCUAAUAGUUUAAAGAAUGCAGAACACUUGCCCAUGGAGUCAGAAGGAAGAGAGUGACAAGGACCAGUAUAAUCUCCAGGGGAAACUGGGAUGCAAAAAGACACCCGUGGAAGGUAUAUAAUGAGAAGACAUGGGAAGAAGGUGGUCAUCUACCAACCAAGGAACAUCGGAGGCAACCAGAAGCCAGGAGAGAGGCCUGGAACAGAUUAUCCCUCACCACCUUCACAGGGAACCUCCCUGUGUUUCUGCCAACCACCCCACCAACUCCUGGAUUUCAGACUUCCAGCCUUCAGAACUGUGAAAGAAUAAAGCCAACAACUGGAGAGACAGAGUGACGGGAAGAGAAAGAGCUUUAUUAAUAACAAGCCAGCUUGGAAGAUGGGGUCAAACACCCUUAGUGACCAUCCUGGCACCUACCCUAAGCUUGAACCUUUGAUGUGACUUUUGCAAGGGGAGGGGUACAGGUCCCAGACAGGUAGACACCAGCACUGUUUAUUCAUCUUGCUUUGGAGCUCAGUGAGCACCCUGAGUUCCCUGACCAUGUGAAUCUAAAUACACCUGCCUGUUCUGAACCCUGUCUCAUAAAAUAACGAUAAACAAUAAAAUAAAUUCUGUUGAUCAGUUUCUGAUUUUUGUUAUGGUCCAUUCCUGCUGUGUUCUUCUGACCGUUGGCAUUCCAGGUGUGACCUUGCCCACAGCCAGGGGGCUAGGAGUGUUCAGAAAGAAAAAGUGUCCCAUAUUCCUAGCUGGCCUUGGUGUGCAGUUUAAUCGGGCAAGCAGACAGAAAAGAAAAUCUGUCUCAGAGAGAGAAUUUCACUUGUGCCAGGAAAAUUUUUCUUUACCCCAUUAGGUACCUUCCAUCCUAACCUGCUGGGAAGAAGAAAAGAAUAUGGGAGCCAAUGUGAAGGGACCAGUUUAACCUAAUGAUGACAACAUGGUAGUGGAGCAGCCAGAUUUCCAGAUGUUGAAGACAGCAUGUUUGCUCUCCAGUGUGGCUGGGCUGAGAGAAUUCUAUGUGGACAAAAAGUUAUAAGCAUAUGGGAAGAAGUCAGAGGUGGAAGAAGACUGAGACAUAACGGAAAGGGGAACAAUUGAUAGAGGACAGCCCCUGGGUGGUGAAGGGGAGCUGUAAGACAUGGGCAUGAGUGGAACAUAACCCACCCCGAAGUCUACCACUGGGCCCUCAUACAUGUAUCUGCUCAGGCCCUAGGUCCACAGCCCUUCCAAGUCCUAUGUGACAGCGCCUUUCUCUGUUUCUCAGCCAGAUUUGCACAUAACUCGUAACUCCUCAAGCACUUAAAGAUAAGCACGUGCCAAGGCAUGGUGGUGCACAUCUGUAAUCCCAGCACUCCAGGAGGCUGAAGUAGGAAGACCACAAGUUCAAAUCCAGCCCAGGCAACUUAGUAAGACUCUAUUUCAAAAUUAAAAAUUAACAAGGGCUGGGAUAUAGCUCAUUGAGAAGGUCCUGGGUUCAGUACCACACACAUACACACACACACACAUACACACACACACGCACACGCACACAAGCAUUAAACGAAGGAAAUUAUCUUUCUAUCUUUGAAAUAGUGGGGAUAGAAAAAUCAGUCUUAUCAGGGAUACUUAAUGUCUCUUCUUGUCAAAGAAGAAACAAAAGACAGUUAUUAAUCACUAUGGCGAAGUAUCAUCAGUAACUUGAAUCCUCUGAAAUGUUUACACAAGUAGACAAGUCAGGCAGUGGGGAAAGACUUGGGUCUACCUUAAAUAGAAACACUCUUCUCUGACCUUAAACUUGACUGUCAACUGCCCACAUGUAUUAAUCCAAAGAGGGAGGCUGGCCAGCUUGGAAAUGUGCAGAGGGGAACCAGCCAAGGUCAUUAUUAACAGUGGCCACUGAGCUUUGAGUCAUGAGCCAAGGCUUUUGCCUGCCAAUAUUCUAUCCUAUUGGCAAGUCGUCAAGGGAGGAAAUGGGUGCGGGCUCCCUUCGCCCUGCUGCCCCAAGUCACUCCACUCACCUUCGGGGUUCCCCAUCCUGGUCGAAAUCCAGUCUAGGCCAAUUAAAGAAGAAUCCAUGAGGACAGACCCCAGGCAGCUACCCACCACCACCACCCAGGUGCUUCUGAUGUGCAGCCAGCAAUACCUUGAUUGACAAAUCCCAUGCCCACCAUUAACAGUUUUCACAUGAGCUACAUCAGCCAGGAAAUGAGGCAGCAUUCUGGACAUUCCUUCAAAGCUUGGUCACUGUGAAGCCUCUGCUAAAACAGCUUCUCCCUUCUGUGUGCUGCUGCCAGCAAGAUGGAGGGCCAGCCCCAGGCCCCGAUGAGGUCACCAAAGUGAAGAAAUGUUGCUUCCAGAAAUCUCUUGGGUGG